CGGUGAUGCAGCACACACUAUCACACCUGGGGGCCUGUCUGCCACACCUGUCUGUCUCCUCGCACACCUGGCGGGCCCUCGGGGAAGCACGCGGUGAUCAGGUGGGACAGGUGAAGGGGAUUAUGGUUCCUUGGGUGACGUAGCCAGUAGGAAAACACCACAACACUGACACAAGGGGAUCGGGGGCCACAGGUAGAGUUAGAGUCCCCAGGUAGCGUGGUCAACAGGUAAGUUCAAUUUUGGUUCCUCAAGUGACGUGGGUAGAAGGUAAACAACACCGCAACACAGCACAAGGGAUCAGGCGCCACAAGUGAAGUUAAGGUCCCCAGGUAGCGUGGUCAACAAACAGGUAAGUUCAAUUUUGGUUCAAGUGACGUGGGUGGUAGGAAAACAACACAGCACAAGGGCAUCGGCGCAAGAGUGAAGUUGGAGUCCCCAGGUAGUGUAGUUAACAGGUAAGUUCGAUUAUGGUUCCUCGGGUGACGUGGGUAGGAGGUAAACAACAGCACAACACAAGGGCAUCGGGCGCCACAGGUGAAGAUUAAGUCCCCAGGUGGCGCUAUGAACAGGUAAAGCACCAAUACGUAACACCACAACACCACAGAAGCAACACACGGGAGUCAGGUGUUCGGCCUCUUGCAGACUCCUCCUUAUGUUCUUAAAUCCGAUCAGACUCAGAUGAGGUAGAUUACACGGAGCAACACCACGACGACCACUAAACUCCACCACGCACGCACCAGCACCUCCACUAACACCACACGCCGCCUUGUCCUCCCUGUCCCGCACUAAUCACUGCUCUGCUCUCGUCCGCGGCCACGCCCUGCAACGCCUGGGCUCCCGAGGCAUCAACUGAACUGACUGCCUCGCCUCGUCCCGCCCAACCCUGCUCUGACGCGGUGGUGGUGGUGGUGGCGGUGGUGCCCUUGAGAGCCGCGACCACAGCCAGGAUGGGGGGUGGUGGACACGUGCCCUCCUUACCUCUCUCUCUCUCUCUCUCUCUCUCUCUCUCUCUCUCUCUCUCU